GCACAGCCCAGAGUCCCAUCCAACCUGCAGGCUGCACUAAGGCUCUGAGUGUUAAUUCUGCAGUCUUCCCUCUCGACAGCUUGCUGAGAGCCUUCAGACAGGACUCACAGACACUCAGACACACAGCACCCAUUCACUGCCAUGGUGACAGCAGGAACCACAGCCCUGGGGUUUGGCAGGCCAGCUCCUGCCAGCGUCCUUUCGUUGUCUCCCAGCUGCCCAGCACAGGAGAGGAACAGCAAAGCUGCACAGAAAGGACAGCAGGGAGAUCCCUGUAGGGUGUGACUCAUGGUGGAGGCAGGAAAACAUCUGUAAAUGGAAUUAAAUCUAAACACUGCUGGCUGGAGCCAUAGCAAGGCCACCCGGUGUGCAGGUGACAGAGCCGUGCCACCUCCACAGAGCAUGCAGACAGAGGGACAGCCAUCCCAUAGUGGGACACUGCAGGCGGGCACAAAGGAUAUCCCAGCUCAGACCCGGCCGUGCUGUGGAUCCAACCACCCCGACU
rnacentral:lncRNA from 1 species